GUAAGAUAUAAAUCAUGUAUUUUUUUUACAUUGAGACAAAGUAUAAUACAAUCACCGUAUCUUUCAUUCAUCAUGUGCAUCAAAGGAGCCAAGAGUGGUUUGAAUUUUCCUUGAUUGAAUUACUCGUACAUAAGCCAAAAUUUGAUACGCUUUUGUUUUUGUUUUCUUUUCUCUCCAUCGCUUUCGUCUCAGUGAAGUUCAGUCCACACUACACAACAACAGAACGACUCUUCAAAGGGCUCAAAUGAUGCCCGCAAAAAUAAUUUGACUGGGAAAGAAGCCUUUGUAAACCAUGCUGAGAUAGCGUGGAAUCAAAAGAGGAAAGAAUGGGUUGGUGAUCAGUCAAACAAAGCACAGAGACCCCCUAGAGUUUCAACUAUAUGCCUGACAGGAAAUCCUAACGACAUGCUUUUCUCUAACGAAUCUUUCCGCCCGCCUAUACCUUUAGCUGAGAUGGUAGGCUAUUUUGUUAAAAUUUGGAAACAUGAAGGUCUAUAUGAAAUAGCUAAUAGGUAAUUCUUCUGGAAACUUCAGUAAGAAUUUUGCAUGAUUUUAUUUGCAGAGAAGGCAUCACAAGGACAUUGCUGAGAGUGAGAGACUCUUCAAUAUGAGAUGGUUGAAGUCGUUGAAUGAUAUUUUUAAUUAUGUUAGCAGCACAAAUAAACUUGAUAGCACUUAGCAGUUUCCACCUGCCACACUGUUGACAGGCUGAACAUUUUAUAGUUUUUUUUUUUUUUUUUACAUUUUUGAACUAGAGUGCAUUCUAUGAUUACAAUGUGUGAAAUCUCAAUGUUUUGAUGAAUUUCAAAACAAAAAGUUGAGUAUACAUUGAAUAUUUGCA